AGAGCGAACGCUGGCGGCAGGCUUAACACAUGCAAGUCGAACGGAUCCUUCGGGAUUAGUGGCGGACGGGUGAGUAACACGUGGGAACGUGCCUUUUGGUUCGGAACAACUCAGGGAAACUUGAGCUAAUACCGGAUGUGCCCUUCGGGGGAAAGAUUUAUCGCCAUUAGAGCGGCCCGCGUCUGAUUAGCUAGUUGGUGAGGUAAAGGCCCACCAAGGCUACGAUCAGUAGCUGGUCUGAGAGGAUGACCAGCCACAUUGGGACUGAGACACGGCCCAAACUCCUACGGGAGGCAGCAGUGGGGAAUCUUGCGCAAUGGGCGAAAGCCUGACGCAGCCAUGCCGCGUGAAUGAUGAAGGUCUUAGGAUUGUAAAAUUCUUUCACCGGGGACGAUAAUGACGGUACCCGGAGAAGAAGCCCCGGCUAACUCGUGCCAGCAGCCGC
rnacentral:rRNA from 1 species